GACAGAGGGUGCAAACGUUGUUCGGAAUUACUGGGCGUAAAGCGAGUGUAGGCGGUUUGGUAAGUCGGAUGUGAAAGCCCCGGGCUCAACCCGGGAAGUGCACUCGAUACUGCCAAGCUAGAGUGUCGGAGAGGUUGGUGGAAUUCUCGGUGUAGAGGUGAAAUUCGUAGAUAUCGAGAGGAACACCGGUGGCGAAGGCGGCCAACUGGACGAACACUGACGCUGAGACUCGAAAGCGUGGGGGAGCGAAACAGGAU
rnacentral:rRNA from 1 species